rnacentral:rRNA from 1 species
UGGGGAAUAUUGCACAAUGGGCGAAAGCCUGAUGCAGCGACGCCGCGUGAGCGAAGAAGUAUUUCGGUAUGUAAAGCUCUAUCAGCAGGGAAGAUAAUGACGGUACCUGACUAAGAAGCACCGGCUAAAUACGUGCCAGCAGCCGCGGUAAUACGUAUGGUGCAAGCGUUAUCCGGAUUUACUGGGUGUAAAGGGCGUGUAGCCGGGAGGGCAAGUCAGAUGUGAAAUCCACGGGCUCAACUCGUGAACUGCAUUUGAAACUACUCUUCUUGAGUAUCGGAGAGGCAAUCGGAAUUCCUAGUGUAGCGGUGAAAUGCGUAGAUAUUAGGAGGAACACCAGUGGCGAAGGCGGAUUGCUGGACGACAACUGACGGUGAGGCGCGAAAGCGUGGGGAGCAAACAGGAUUAGAUACCCUGGUAGUCCACGCUGUAAACGAUGAAUACUAGGUGUGCGGGGACUGACCCCCUGCGUGCCGCAGUUAACACAAUAAGUAAUCCACCUGGGGAGUACGACCGCAAGGUUGAAACUCAAAGGAAUUGACGGGGGCCCGCACAAGCAGUGGAGUAUGUGGUUUAAUUCGACGCAACGCGAAGAACCUUACCAAGUCUUGACAUCCUGCGACGGACAUAGAAAUAUGUUUUUCCUUCGGGACGCAGAGACAGGUGGUGCAUGGUUGUCGUCAGCUCGUGUCGUGAGAUGUUGGGUUAAGUCCCGCAACGAGCGCAACCCUUAUGGUCAGUUACUACGCAAGAGGACUCUGGCCAGACUGCCGUUGACAAAACGGAGGAAGGUGGGGAUGACGUCAAAUCAUCAUGCCCUUUAUGACUUGGGCUACACACGUACUACAAUGGCGUUAAACAAAGAGAAGCAAGACCGCGAGGUGGAGCAAAACUCAGAAACAACGUCCCAGUUCGGACUGCAGGCUGCAACUCGCCUGCACGAAGUCGGAAUUGCUAGUAAUCGCAGAUCAGCAUGCUGCGGUGAAUACGUUCCC